GCACGGGAGUUCUUGUCUGUGUGCAAUCCACUUUGUGGGCGUGUGGGUUUAGGUCUGGCUGGGCCGUUUCUGAACUUGACCCCUGAGGACUCAUAGUACCUUAGGGGCGGGGCUCUCCAGUGGGUGGGGCCUCCCGCUCUGAGAGCAAGGCCUCGGGGUCUGGAGGACCCGGCUUUUCCGGGAGGGCGCGGCCUCCGGGGGAGAGGGCGAGCCGAGCGGGCUGUCAGCCGAAGAGCUUCAGGAAGCAGGGCUGGCAGUAGGGCUUGCCGGCGCGCUCCUGGAAGGACCCCUUGGUGAGCGGGCGCAGGCAGAAGGUGCAUGUGAAGUGGUCCGGGUGGAAGCGGCGACCCAGGGCCGACACGCAGCGGCCGGUCACAGGGAGGCCACACGUGGCGCACAGCGAGCCGCGUCGUGCGUGGAAGUGGUUCUCGCACAACGGGCGGCCCUCGUGCUCGAAAAAGCUGCCUCCCGAGAAGGGCGCGAAGCAUUCCUGGGGAAGGGAAGCCGCGAAAGAGGACAGACAGGUCAGCGGCCACUGCCAGACAACGCGCGUUACUAGCGGAUAACGCCCUGGGACCCCGCAGCCCGCCCUAGACGCGAAGAAUCCCGUCCGGUGGGACCCUGCCCGGAAAACUCGCCCCACCCGAGGUUCCUAGCAGCACCUCCCGUGACCCGCCCCCCCGAGGGCCCGCCCCCUGCCCUGCACCCUUGACCCGCCCCUCCAAGGCCCCGCCCCACAGCCCUGUACCCUUGACCCGCCCCUCCAACGCCCCGCCCCGCAGCUCGCACCCUGCAGACGAAACAGUCCGGGUGCCAGAGCGCGCUGAGCGCCGAGAUGUAGUUAUCCAGGAUGGGGCCCUGGCAGCCCUGGCAGCGCGGGGCGAACAGCUGCAGGAAGUCCCGGCGGCAGUAGGGGCGGCCCUCGCGCUCGUGGAAACCUAGGAGAGGGAACCGAGUGGGCUGAAAGCAAAGGGUGCGGGCGGGACGGGGGACCCACAAGACCUGAGAUCUGGGGCCGAAGGAGGGGCAGUCCGAGGGAGCCUUGGGGAAGGAGGAGCCGGGUCUAUGGCGGGACAGAGCGGGGAGGGCUCGGGUCCGGAGUCUGUGUAGGAGAGGGCAGGGCCAGAAGAGAGCAGAAGGAAAACCAUGGCCCUGAGGACUCCGGAGGUCGGAGGGGCUGGGGCGAGACGUCGAGGGGACCCGCAGCUUUUAAGAUGGGAGUCGAGUUCACUCUCACCCUCAUCUCCGAAGGGCUCCCCGCAACUGACGCAGCAGAAAUGCUCUGGGUGCCAGUGAGUGCCCAAGGCGGUCACCAUCUUCUGCAGGGAGGGAGAGGGCACUCAGCGCGGCCUCCGUGCCUUCGCGCCUUCCUCUCCCGCGCGGAACCCGGGUGACUGGACUAAGGCAUGCGUGGGGGGAGGGGGAGAAGAUCUAACUAGGAACGUGGGGGUCAGAAAGGAAGAGUGGAGUCCAAGGGGCCGUGGACAUUGCCAAGGGGAAGGGGUAGGGGUGGAGUGGGGUAUCGCGGGUGGGGCGGGACCCAUGCGGUGGAGGCCCGUCCCACAGCUCUCCUGGUGAGAUAGGGCGGGCUCGGUGCGGCCGGGCGGGGCUCACGUGUCGGAUGGGCUGGUUGCAGAAGCCACAUCUUGGCGAGAAGCGCUCAAAGUAGCACUCGGGGCAGAAGGGGGCUCCAUCCUUCUCGAAGAAGCUGCUGCCUCCCAGGGCGGUGGAACAGCCUCCGCAAACGAAGUGCUCGGGGUGCCAGGCGCGGCCCAGAGCCGUCACCACCUGCGAGUGGGAGGUGAGGCGGGUCAGAGCGGCUCUGACAACCACAUGCCCAGUGAGGCAAGAUUUACGCGGCGUUUUUCGAGUCCUCUCUGAGCGAUCAGAAUAAAGAAUCCAGUGUUCGAGAUCACGCAGCCUGUAAGCGAUGGAGAUCUAGCUCCCGUGUUCCGUCUUCCAGCUGCGCUCCAGGAUUGACCUAUACAUGAGGCACAGCAGGCACAGCGCCUGGAGCCCACAAUACAUUUAGGGGCCCAUAAAAACGUUUUAAUUUUUUUAAAAUCAAAAUACGAUCAGGCUGGGUGGCUCGUGCCUCUAAUCCUAGCAUUUGGGAGGCUGAGGUGGGAGGAUUACUUGAGUCCAGGAGUUUGAGACCAGCCUGGGCAACAUGGCGAAGCCCCAUCUCUACAAUAAAUAAAUAAAAUUAGCUGGGCGAGGUGGCGGGCGCCUUUAGUCCCAGCUACUCGGGAGGCUGAGCUGGGAGGAUCACUUGAGCCCAGAAGGUCGAGGCUGCAGUGAGCCACAAUCGCACCACUGCACUCCAGCUUGGGUCACAAGAGUGAGAAUUUGCCUCAAAAUAAAUAAGAGGGAGGAAGUGAAAAAUCCGUUUUUAAAAAUUCAGAAUAAAAAAAUGAACUAGAAGAAAAUGCUGUAAUACACAAUAAUAACAUACCCAUCUUUACACCAACACAGACAUAAAAAUCUAUUUAUUUUAAUGGACGAAGGGACUCAUGAAGAUGAAAGUGCCUAUGAUCCACAAAAGUCACAAUGCCACCCUCCUUUGCUGAGAUGGGCAAUUCUGGGCUGGGAGUCAGGUACUUGAUCUAGCAGGGGGCACUAGGUUAACCCCUAGGCACAGCUGUUGUCAAUCACAUCUGCUCAGUCAAUAAAACAAGGACCAGUGAACCCAGUCCAGACUCUGACGGAGGAAGAGAGAGCCUUUGUAGAUGCCUGAGAGAUAUUGGGUGGAGCCACAGAGUGUUUUGUGAAGAUCAGAUGAGAUGAGGGUUUGUAAAGGAGCUGGCACAGUGCCUGGCACACAGUAGGACCACAAUAAAUGGUAACAUGGUUGGAAUUUUCACCCUACCACUAACCUGCUGUGUGGUUCAGAGCUUCAGUUUCCUCAUCCAUAAAACAUAAGUAAUAAUGAUACCCACUUCCCAGAUUAACUUACUAAAAGGGAACAGCAUAAAGCCCAGCUCUCACUAAAGAUGGGUCUGUGACAGGUCUCUGCCUCCCUUCUCACAAGGCUCCACUUACUUGCCCAGCAAUAGGUUUAUUGCAGGAGCCACAGAGGCCUUUGGCCUGGGUGGGAACACCCCGGCGGCUGAGGUCGGACUGCAGCAGCCCCAGCAUGGUGUCUAGGCUGCCCUUGCCAGUCGGCUCUGGUGGGGAUGGGGAGCCCUCAUUUGUGGAGCUCACCACCGGUGGCUGAGUUGGCCCAGAGGCUGGAAGCUGCAGCGGGGAGGACAUGAGAAUUGAGUCAGCAAAGCAGCAGAUGUGGAAUUGUCUAGAAGGGGUUGGGGAGCCACAAAUGGACACUGGCCCACUGCCCAACUCACAUGGUUUUGAACGCGGAAGUCAGAGAGUGAGGCCAUCAGUCUAUCCAGCUCCAGAGUGGCUGAGGUGGCAGAAGCCUUUGGGAGGCCAGGAGACGGGCUGGAAGGGCUGUGAAGAACAUGCUUGUGUCAUCUCAGAGCCUCCCAGAGCAACGCUCCCUCUAGUGACUCAGAUAUCCAGGACUCAUCUCUCAGCCCUGACAACGACGCCAAACUCACAGGCUGGGUCUUUUCUUAUCUUCAGACUGGUCCUCCUUCUGCUCUCCUGAAGCCACCUUGCUAGAUGGGAACUGAGACAUGAUUUCAUCUGGAGAGAGGAGAGGAGGACGCUACAUAUAGGGCCAUGCUCAACGCACCCUCACACUUGAGGCUUUAGGUCCCUUUAACUGCUACUCUGGGAAGUGUAUUCCUCUUAGUCUCUGCCCCACCCUUCCCUCCCCUGCCCCUAUCGCAUCAAGGCCUCUCUCAGUCACCCUGGUACCUGUGAUGUUGAACUGAGUGGCAUUAAGUUCCUGAAGCAACCGAUCUAGCUCACAGAGCCCGACUCCCCAGACCCUGUCUACAGAGCGGAGACGCACAGGUGGGAUGACAGGCCUGCACUCUGCCCCACUGAGGCUGAGAUCCCCAUAGACCAGGCCGAGCCUGGCCCUAGUGGCUGCCCCAGUCCCCAACAUCCGAUCUCACCUGUGGCUGGUGGCCAUAGGAUGGGGGAGGGGUGAGAGGCUCCGCAGGGCGCUCUUUGGGAGCCCCUGACCUUGGCAUGUGCGAGGUGGUAGUCUCCAGGUCAGAGAGCAGGGCAUCUGCAGGAAGAGGCCAUCAGGGAGAGAGACAAGGGUCACGGUUAGAUCAGAAGAUAAGGUUCCCAGUGGGCAGUACUGGAGAAGGACAGAAGCCAGUAUUAAGAGAAGAGGUCACAGGGCCAGAGCCAGGCAGAGCACUGCUCGAAGGGUAGCAAGGAAUAUUUAUGACCAGAAUAUCCCAGUUGCUCACGCUUGGAGCCAAGCACAAACCCAGCCUCCUGAUUAUUUUAUUCUCCCCAUCUUCUCUGAUGCAGUCAAAAUGGGCUCUUCACCCAAGCCAAAUUUGGCUCCCCUCCAAAUUGCUCCAUUGGCCCAGUGCCUGGCCCUCAGCUUUCUGAUUGGACGCUCUCUCUUCCAUGCUGGUUAACUCCUCCCUCUACCUACACAGGCCCCGCCCAGCCUGGCCACUCCCAGGCCCCUGAGUCCCGCCCUGGGCUCCUCACUGGCGCUUCGCUGGGACCUGCCUUCUGAUUGGCUGUUUAUCUGCGGUACAGCGUCAGUUACCCCUACCGAGCAGCGCCCUCUACCGCCAGGGGCCGGAAGCCCCUCUCUCCCGUGGAGCGCACAGCCUUCCAGCCCCAGGCUUCGCAGGGAGGACGAGAUACCUGGGUCCCCCUUCCGGACAAGACACCUCUCUCCAUCCCUGCAUCCCCAGAUCCGGGUCUUUUGAGCCCUUUCACUUCCAGAACCCAGAAGUCCUGCCCUCAGUCUUCGUCUCUGAGCACCCGCGUGAAACCCUGAAGCCUUCGCGGGCGCCUAGGCACUCCUGAGUUACUAUUCUCUUCCUUGCCUCAAGGACCUGACCCUCACUGUGCUCAGGAGCCCUUAACUCCUCCUCUCCCAAAACUCUGGUGCAGGCAGGCCCGCUUUUUUUCUCCAAAACUUGAUGCCAGACUUUCCCGUGCCCUCUACUUUCCCGGUCCCCGGGCCGAGGCCCCUUUAACCCCUCCCUCCCCAGAGCCCCGCGCCCGGGCGCCCGCGGGCGCCGCACCUCCCGUUCCAUCUGCCGCAGCCUGGGAUGGAGGAGCACAGCGAGGGAAGAAGGGAGGGAGCGGCCGGCCCAGGAAAGGCAGGAAGGGAGAGGCAGGAAGGGGGACGUGGAGUUGGAAAGGAGGCGCGGGCAGAGGCGAAAAGCAGAAGUAAGAAGACAGGGAUGGGGAGAUGCGGGAGAGCGACGGCGGGGAGGCAGCUCUGGG
rnacentral:lncRNA from 1 species